UGUGAAUCAGCAGAAGACCUAGAGGGGCUUGGAGCUACAUAUUGAAGACAAUGUCUGGAAGCUUCUACUUUGUAAUUGUUGGCCACCAUGAUAAUCCAGUUUUUGAAAUGGAAUUUUUGCCACCUGGGAAAGCAGAAUCCAAAUUAGGCCAUCUUGCCCAUGAAGAGAACACUCAUGGUUCUGACCCGAUUGUUUCUGCUGUUAAUAGAGAUGGCAACUCACAGCUGGGUUGAGCAUGACCUCCCUCUCCAUCCCAGGUCCCAAAGCCAUGAUGAUCACCGUCAUCUGAACCAGUUUAUAGCUCAUGCUGCUCUUGACCUUGUGGAUGAAAAUAUGUGGCUUUCUAACAACAUGUACUUAAAAACUGUGGACAAAUUUAAUGAGUGGUUUGUGUCAGCAUUUGUCACUGCAGGGCAUAUGAGAUUUAUUAUGCUUCAUGAUGUGAGGCAAGAAGAUGGAAUAAAGAACUUCUUUACUGAUGUCUAUGAUUUGUAUAUAAAGUUUGCAAUGAAUCCAUUUUAUGAACCCAAUUCUCCUAUUCGAUCAAGUGCAUUUGACAGAAAAGUUCAGUUUCUUGGGAAGAAACACCUUUUAAGCUAAAUGGAGAAACUCUGCAAUAAGCUGUAUCAUCGUGGGGUGUGCUCAGGAGUGUGUGUUCUGUAAGUAAUUUGAAAUUGCCUGGAAAACGUUCCCUUAAAAUUGUACAUUGUUUUCAUAUUGACUGUCAUUAGCAUUGAUAUUUGCUUGUGGACAAUGUUAUUUACAAACAGUUCUGUACCAGUAAUUUUGAACACUUUUAUUUAUUUAAA
rnacentral:lncRNA from 1 species